GCGUUCAGAGUUUCGUGGCGGAACUGGCAGACGCACUGGAUUUAGGUUCCAGCGGGAAACCGUGGGGGUUCAAGUCCCUUCUCUCGCACCA
rnacentral:tRNA from 1 species